rnacentral:tRNA from 4 species
AGAAACUCUUGGUGCAAAUCCAAGUAGCAGCU